GUGGCAGUCAUUAUCGUCAUUAUCACUAUUAUCAGCGCAUAUUUUAUGGUGCCUUGAUUAAGUGGAGGCACCCUGCUAGGUACAGUUAAGGACUUUACCUUUCUAGAAGAUACUGUCACCGUUUUUAAGGAGUGUCCCAUCUCCAUUUCUGGCCCAGAGUGUUGCAGAAACCACAUGGAGAUCCCUGAGACUAAAGGAAGAAAAAGAGGGUCCCAGCUUUAUACGAGCCCAGUGUUAUAGCUGUUCCCAUCAAGGCACCUUGACAUAUAAGUGAAACAACCUUGGACUCUGCACACCAAUGUGGCCACAACUGAACAACAGCAAAUAACCCCAAUCAAUACUACUUGGAGCAGAAGAAUCACCCAGUUUGUCUCUACCCAUCUUCCUGACCCACAAAAUCCUGAGAUAAAGUAAAAUGAUUAUUGUUUUAAAUACA